rnacentral:rRNA from 1 species
AAUAUAGGGGUGGGGUCCGCGCGUCAAAAAAAAAGGUUGGGCCGGGCCCCGCCACGCGCGCACCCCUUGCCCUUCGGCCCCCACGUCCGGGGGGGCCCGCUAAGAUGCCGACCGGGGCCAACCCGGAGGAAGGGGGGGACGCCGCCAGGUCACCCAGCCCCUUAUGCCCUGGGCUCCCCCCGCCGCUCCAACGGAGGGUACAAGGGGCUGCGAACCCGCGGGGAAAAGCCACUCCCCGAAGGCCGGUCCCAGGCCGGCUCCCUUUGUUGCGCCUCGGGGGAAAGAACCCCUAUUUAUUUUUGGGAAGGGGGGAGCAAAAGGUAUACUAUAGGGGGGAAGGAUC